UACGAAGGGGGCUAGCGUUGUUCGGAAUUACUGGGCGUAAAGCGCGCGCAGGCGGCCUUCCAAGUCAGGGGUGAAAGCCCAGAGCUCAACUCUGGAACUGCCUUUGAAACUGUUAGGCUUGAGUACGGGAGAGGUGAGUGGAAUUCCCAGUGUAGAGGUGAAAUUCGUAGAUAUUGGGAAGAACACCGGUGGCGAAGGCGGCUCACUGGCCCGUAACUGACGCUCAGGCGCGACAGCGUGGGGAUCAAACAGG
rnacentral:rRNA from 1 species